GUUCUUAUAGUUGAAUAACAACGAUGGCUUUUCAUGUCAUUGGUCAUGGGUGAAGUCCAUGUAGGAAUA
rnacentral:tRNA from 1 species